rnacentral:rRNA from 1 species
GAGUUUGAUCUUGGCUCAGAGCGAACGCUGGCGGCGUGCUUAACACAUGCAAGUCGAACGCGCAGUUUUCUGUAGCAAUACAGGAGAUGGGCGCGUGGCGAACGGGUGCGUAACACGUGGAUAACCUUCCCUCAGGUGGGGAAUAACCCAGUGAAAAUUGGGCUAAUACCGCAUAACAUGACGAUGGCACAUGCCGUUGUCUUCAAAGCCGCAAGGCGCCAGAAGAGGGAUCCGCGGCCGAUUAGCUUGUUAGGCGAGGUAAUGGCUCACCAAGGC